UACGGAGGGGGCUAGCGUUGUUCGGAAUUACUGGGCGUAAAGCGCGCGUAGGCGGCUUUGUAAGUCAGAGGUGAAAGCCUGGAGCUCAACUCCAGAACUGCCUUUGAAACUAACAUCGCUUGAAUCAUGGAGAGGUUAGUGGAAUUCCGAGUGUAGAGGUGAAAUUCGUAGAUAUUCGGAAGAACACCAGUGGCGAAGGCGACUAACUGGACAUGUAUUGACGCUGAGGUGCGAAAGCGUGGGGAGCAAACAGG
rnacentral:rRNA from 1 species